CCCUGUUCUAUGCCCUGAGGGA
rnacentral:miRNA from 1 species